ensembl:miRNA Mir1961 microRNA 1961
GCUAGCCAUAUCUGAAGUUCAACACGCCCUCCCCUCUUCCUAUACGUCUAUGGAGGAUUUACCUCCAUAUACCUUGAGAGAUGAGGUAGUAGUUAGAACUUUCAUGGAGCAA